UGGGGAAUAUUGCACAAUGGGCGCAAGCCUGAUGCAGCCAUGCCGCGUGUAUGAAGAAGGCCUUCGGGUUGUAAAGUACUUUCGGCGGGGAGGAAGGCGAUAAGGUUAAUAACCUUGUCGAUUGACGUUACCCGCAGAAGAAGCACCGGCUAACUCCGUGCCAGCAGCCGCGGUAAUACGGAGGGUGCAAGCGUUAAUCGGAAUUACUGGGCGUAAAGCGCACGCAGGCGGUCUGUCAAGUCGGAUGUGAAAUCCCCGGGCUCAACCUGGGAACUGCAUUCGAAACUGGCAGGCUAGAGUCUUGUAGAGGGGGGUAGAAUUCCAGGUGUAGCGGUGAAAUGCGUAGAGAUCUGGAGGAAUACCGGUGGCGAAGGCGGCCCCCUGGACAAAGACUGACGCUCAGGUGCGAAAGCGUGGGGAGCAAACA
rnacentral:rRNA from 1 species